GACGAACGCUGGCGGCGUGCUUAACACAUGCAAGUCGAACGGAAAGGCCCUGCUUUUGUGGGGUGCUCGAGUGGCGAACGGGUGAGUAACACGUGAGUAACCUGCCCUUGACUUUGGGAUAACUUCAGGUAACUGGGGCUAAUACCGGAUAGGAGCUCCUGCUGCAUGGUGGGGGUUGGAAAGUUUCGGUGGUUGGGGAUGGACUCGCGGCUUAUUAGCUUGUUGGUGGGGUAGUGGCUUACCAAGGCUUUGAUGGGUAGCCGGCCUGAGAGGGUGACCGGCCACAUUGGAACUGAGAUACGGCCCAGACUCCUACGGGAGGCAGCAGUGGGGAAAAUUGCACAAUGGGGGGAAGCCUAAUGCAGCAACGCCGCGUGCGGGAUGAGGGCCUUCGGGUUGAAAACCGCUUUCGCCUGUGACGAAGCGUGAGUGACGGUAAUGGGUAAAGAAGCACCGGCUAACUACGUG
rnacentral:rRNA from 1 species